ensembl:lncRNA
UUUUUUUUUUUUUUUUUUUUUCCCUUUUCUUUUCAGGGCCAUACCUGUGCAUAUGGACGUUCCUGGGCUAUGGGUCUGCAGCUGCCAGCCUACACCAUAGCCACAGCAACGUGGGACCUGCACCAAAAUUUGCAGUAACUCCGGAUCCUUAACCCACUGAGUGAGGCCAGGGAUCAAACCCGCACUAUGUAGGGUUCUUAACCCAUGGAGCCAAAACGGGGAAUUCCCCACGUUUUUCUACUUUACCUAACUUUACCUUCUCCCAAGAAACUAUCUGUUUUCUUUUCUUUCACAUUUUUUUUUUUACCUCUGUGGAUUACUGCUUCCCAACUUCAUUUUAUGUUGCCUUAUCUUUUCUUCCAAUAUCAAGAGAUUUGCCAUCUAUUCACUAGUUAAUCCUUUCACCUGGGCUCCAAAUAACCAGAUAACCCAUGUCUUCUCCUUUUUAAAAAGUGAAUAAAAUGGUUAUUACCUGGCAAUUCCAUUCCUAGGGUACCCAACAGAAAUAAAAACAUAAGUCCACACAAACUAGCACAAGAAUGAUUGUAACAGCCUUACUCCUAUUAGCCCCAAACUAGAAAUAGCCCAAAUGUCCUUCAAUGCACGAAUGAAUAAACAAAAUGUGGUGGAUUCAUAUAAUGGAAUAUCAUUCAUCACUAACAAUGAUUCAAGUAUUGGGAGUUCUCUGAUGGCCUAACAGGUUGAGACUCCUGCAUUCUCACCACUGUGGCUCUGGCUGCUGCUGUGCAGAGCAGGUUUGAUCCCGGGCCCAGGAAUUCCCAUAUACUGCCUGUGUGGCAAAAAAGAGAGAGAGAACGUGAAAUAAACAUUGCAACUCUCAUCAAAAUAAUAAAUAAAUAAAAAAAAAAUUUGAGGUAGGAGGAGAUGGGCCCCUCAGCUGAGCACAGAUGGGAAUUACUAGGUGGAGGAAAUUGGGCCUUGUUUCUCUUUGACACUUCAAGGAGAAAGUUAAUGGCAGGAGCUGAGCUCUGCUGGGGUAAAAGAUGACUACAUCAAUCACUCCUGGGAUCAAGGAGACAUCCCUAAUUACACAUAGGCAUCAAGACUCCUAGGGGUCAAAAAGGGAGGGGGUACCAGGCCGGAAUAAGUUGAUACCUUCUCACAACCCUUUGUCCUGGAAUUCGUCUUAGCCAAAAGAUGUGCACGCAUACAGGGAGGGCCUUGGGUCUGGUCAGGUGUGAGAAAUAAAAGAAGAUAAUUGGCCAAAGGAAAACAAAGACCCAGAACUAUCCUGUUUAAGUGAUUUAAAUCACCUCUCAGGUAUAGGGGGACUCUUAGGAGUGUAUCACUGCUUUGCUUCUGACUUAAAUUACUUCUCUGUUUGAUCUCUCACAUGAUGUACUGUGUUUCUAAAAAUAAACUUUGUACCUGUUUUUACAGUGUUUGCCUCCUUGAAACAGUCCUGCUUUCAAUGUGGGCAAAUCAGGGAAAUUCUGAUUUUAGCUUCUAGCUGGUCUAGCAGAUAGGAUUCCUGGUCCUCAUUCAGGCUGCCCAGGUUUAAUUCCAGAGCAGAGAAUUAAGAUCUCGAUCCAGGAGUUCCUGUUGUGUCUAAGCAGUAACGAGCUCGACCAGUAUCCAUGAGGACACAGGUUCGAUCCCUAGCCUCACUCAGUGGGUUAAAAAUCCAGUGUUGGAGUUCCCGUCGUGGCGCAGUGGUUAACGAAUCCGACUAGGGAGAGGUUGCGGGUUCGGUCCCUGCCCUUGCUCAGUGGGUUAAGGGUCCGGCGUUGCCGUGAGCUGUGGUGUAGGUUGCAGACACGGCUCGGAUCCCGUGUUGCUGUGGCUCUGGCGUAGGCCAGUGGCUACAGCUCCGAUUCGACCCCUAACCUGGGAACCUCCAUAUGCCGCAGGAGC